UGACCAGCAACUCCUAUCCCUACCUCCACGUGGUACCGGCCGGAAACUAUGAGCAACCUUAGGGAAGACAAGGUAAGG
rnacentral:ribozyme from 1 species